CGGCAGGCCUAACACAUGCAAGUCGAGCGGAUGAAGGGAGCUCNGCUNCCUGGAUUNAGCGGCGGACGGGUGAGUAAUGCCUAGGAANCUGCCUGGUAGUGGGGGAUAACGUCCGGAAACGGGCGCUAAUACCGCAUACGUCCUGAGGGANAAAGUGGGGGAUCUUCGGACCUCACGCUAUCAGAUGAGCCUAGGUCGGAUUAGCUAGUUGGUGGGGUAAAGGCCUACCAAGGCGACGAUCCGUAACUGGUCUGAGAGGAUGAUCAGUCACACUGGAACUGAGACACGGUCCAGACUCCUACGGGAGGCAGCAGUGGGGAAUAUUGGACAAUGGGCGAAAGCCUGAUCCAGCCAUGCCGCGUGUGUGAAGAAGGUCUUCGGAUUGUAAAGCACUUUAAGUUGGGGAGGAAGGGCAGUAAGUUAAUACCUUGCUGCUUUGGCGUUACCAACAGAAUAAGCACCGGCUAACUUCGUGCCAGCAGCCGCGGUAAUAC
rnacentral:rRNA from 1 species